rnacentral:rRNA from 1 species
CAAGUCGAACGAAUCUCACCGCUGUAGCAAUACAGUGGUGGGGGAAGUGGCGAAAGGGGCAGUAAUGUAUGGGUAACCUACCCGGGGGUCGUGGAUAGCCUUCCUAACGGAUGGGUAAUACACGGCGAUUCAGCGAGGCGGCAUCACCUUGCUGGGAAAGAAUUUCGCCUCCGGAGGGGCUCAUAUCGUAUUAGCUAGUUGGUGAGGUAACGGCUCACCAAGGCGAAGAUGCGUAGCGGGUGUGAGAGCACGACCCGCGCCACUGGCACUGAGACACUGGCCAGACACCUACGGGUGGCUGCAGUCGAGGAUCUUCGGCAAUGGGCGCAAGCCUGACCGAGCGACGCCGCGUGGAGGAUGAAGGCCUUCGGGUUGUAAACUCCUGUCGAGGGGGAUCAAGGGGCAACCUUGAGUGAUCCCUGGAGGAAGCACGGGCUAAGUUCGUGCCAGCAGCCGCGGUAAGACGAACCGUGCGAACGUUGUUCGGAAUCACUGGGCAUAAAGGGCGCGUAGGCGGCUUUUCAAGUCAGGGGUGAAAUCCGGCAGCUUAACUGUCGAAGUGCCCUUGAUACUGAUGAGCUCGAGGGAGGUAGGGGUAUGUGGAACUUCCGGUGGAGCGGUGAAAUGCGUUGAUAUCGGAAGGAACGCCGGUGGCGAAAGCGACGUACUGGACCUCUUCUGACGCUGAGGCGCGAAAGCUAGGGGAGCAAACGGGAUUAGAUACCCCGGUAGUCCUAGCCCUAACGAUGGGUACUAGAUAGUGGACUUAACAUGGGUUCACUGUCGAAGCUAAUGUGUUAAGUACCCCGCCUGGGGAGUAUGGUCGCAAGGCUGAA